rnacentral:rRNA from 1 species
AUUGAACGCUGGCGGCAGGCCUAACACAUGCAAGUCGAGCGGUAGCACAGGAGAGCUUGCUCUCUGGGUGACGAGCGGCGGACGGGUGAGUAAUGUCUGGGAAACUGCCUGAUGGAGGGGGAUAACUACUGGAAACGGUAGCUAAUACCGCAUAACGUCGCAAGACCAAAGAGGGGGACCUUCGGGCCUCUUGCCAUCAGAUGUGCCCAGAUGGGAUUAGCUAGUAGGUGGGGUAACGGCUCACCUAGGCGACGAUCCCUAGCUGGUCUGAGAGGAUGACCAGCCACACUGGAAAUGAGACACGGUCCAGACUCCUACGGGAGGCAGCAGUGGGGAAUAUUGCACAAGGGGCGCAAGCCUGAUGCAGCCAUGCCGCGUGUAUGAAGAAGGCCUUCGGGUUGUAAAGUACUUUCAGCGGGGAGGAAGGUGCUGAGGUUAAUAACCUCAGCAAUUGACGUCACCCGCAGAAGAAGCACCGGCUAACUCCGUGCCAGCAGCCGCAGUAACAC